GGUCUGUCUGUUGGUUUGUUUGCUCCAACUUUAAUAUUUUGCCAUAACUUUUGCAAUAUUGAAGAAAGCAACUUCAUAUUUGGCAUGCAUGUGUAUCUCAUGGAGCUGCACAUUUUGAGUGGUGAAAGGUCAAGGUCAUCCUUCAAGGUCAAAGGUCAAAAUAUACCUAGAAAGGUGCAGAUUUGCUUCAGUUUUGUGUUUAGGUUCAUUUUAUUCCUAAAAUAUCACAGCUAUUACACUAUGCCUCCAAACAAUAUACGAAAGCUUGACCCAAACCAAGACACUCUUGAUGUAAGUAAUGGUAGGUGAACGUAAGAAUUAAAUGCUGGCAAUUCACAUGAAAUUUACAUGAGGGUUUAUUAAUUAUCCAUGGUCCUGAUCCCUUUAAUAUCUGAAAUCCCUGUUUGUGCAUAUAAUAUUUGGGCGACCUAACUUUGUAUUUCAAUCAGUUUCUUGUUUUGACCAUUAUUUUUACAUUAUUAUCAAAACUUGUUAGUUUCCUACCCUUGAAAAAGGAGAGGGACUUACGGUUUGCGCUCUGUGUCUGUCAGUCUGACACUUUUCUGGAUCCUUCGAUAACUUUAAAAGUUCUUCACCCAUUUACUUCAAAUUAAUACUGAACCUCUCUUAUGACAAUACGGUCAAUCUCAACUAUGUAUGGCCCCAUUACCAACCCUGGGGUGCCCCUCCCACAUAGGCCACGCCCACCCAAAAUUGCCUUUUACUAUAAUUUCUUCAUUUCUACACCGAUUCACUUCUAAUUGAUACUGAACUUCUCUUAUGACAAUACGGUCAACUAUGCAUGGCCCCAUUACCAACCCUGGGGCGCCCCUGGGUCAAACAUGCGGCGUGGGGAUAUGCGUCGGUCUCUGCCGCGCCAUUUCUAGUCAACAUUGGAGACAUUGGCAUCUUAAAGGAAUAAAUUAUGUAUGAGCCCAAAUUUUGCAGAACUAUGGCCCUUGCUCAUUUUUGUUUAGCUCCUCAGCUGAAAUCAUCAUCUAGCAGUCACAAUAGUUGAGCGGUUGGAGAGGCAUGCAUUGCGUCCUACUACUGCUCAGACUAUAUUAUGUUUGGCAGACAAAACAUGCUGAUCAAAAAGAAUGUGUACCACAGGGGCCAGUGUUUCCAUUUGAGUGAUUGACAAGAAGAAGAAGAGAUGAGAAAUGUUAUCAUCAUAUUUUAGUCCCUACAUUUAUAGUGUACAGCUCAAUGUAUUGAACCGGUGUUGUAGAAUAUAAUUGGAGAUACAUUUGAACAUUAUAACAUUAUAUAUAAGAUGAUGUUUCAAAAGCAAUAAGAAAUAAAAAGUAUAAAAAGGUCAAAACAGUAAACCUUGUGUUUACAGUGGACAGGUUUAAAGUGGAAGUGACUAGUUAAUUGUUGAUCAUAAGCUGCACUGAUGGAAAAAAUAGUGGGAAAUUACUAUCUAGAAAACUGUUUAACGUACGACAACAGUUGUGGAACUUCAUAAAUGACCGUAUGUAACAGGGCUGGGCAGUUUUCCUUAUAUAGCUAUAGUGAAACCUUUUGAACACUAGUGAAGUCACUGUUUUUUUUCCAAUCUUCAUGCAUUUUGGUCGAAUAUUUGUUCAAAUGAUGGCUCAGUCCAGUUUCGAAAUUUUUAUGUCUAUUCAAAAAACAUAUCCACUAGAGCACGAGGCAAUUGUCUUUAUAUGGCUAUAAUGAAACCUUGUAAAUUCUCUAGAAGUGACAUUUUUAGCCAUAUCUCCAUAAAUUUUGGUCAGAAUAUUUAUUCUAAUGAUAGCUCAGUUGUCGAGUUUGUAACUGGUUCCGGUUUGUAGACUAACAUGGCUGCCAGUGGACAUGACAGUUUUUCUUAUGUGCUAGAGUAGAACCUUGUUAACACACAAUUGGCCUUUUUUAUGUGCAUUUUUCAUGAAAGAUGAUCAGAGCAUUUGGCCCAAUGUAAUCUCAGCUGACUUUGAAACUGGAUCACAUAACGUCAAAAAGUGGGUCAAAAUGUCAAAUUAAAAAAAGCUUGUAAACACUGGAAGUUGCAUUUAAAAUUGUGUUCCUUUUUUAUGUCCCCCACUAUAGUAGUGGGGGACAUAUUGUUUUUGCCCUGUCUGUUGGUUGGUUGGUUUGCGCCAACUUUAACAUUUGCAAUAACUUUUGCAAUAUUGAUGAUAGGAACUUGAUAUUUUGCAUGCAUAUGUAUCUCAUGGAGCUGCACAUUUUGAGUGGUGAAAGGUCAAGGUCAUCUUUCAAGGUCAAAGGACAAAUAUAUGGGUCAAAAUCGCUCAUUUAAUGUACACUUUUGCAGUAUUUCAAUAUUCAAGAUAGCAACUUGAUAUUUGGCAUGCAUGUGUAUCUCAUUGAGCUGCACAAUUUGAGUGGUGAAAGGUUAAGUUCAUCCUUCAUGGUCAGAUGUCAAAUAUAUGUGUCCAAAAUCGCUCAUUUUAUUAUACUUUUGCAAUAUUGAAGAUAGCAACUUGAUAUUUGGCAUGCAUGUGUAUCUCAUGGAUCUGCACAUUUUGAGUGGUGAAAGGUCAAGGUCAUCCUUCAAGGUCAGAGGUCGAAUAUAUGUGGCCCAAAUCGCUUAUUUUAUGAAUACUUUUUCUAUAUUGAAGAUAGCAACUUGAUAUUUGGCAUAAAUGUGUAUCUCAUUGAGCUGCACAUUUUUAGUGGUGAAAGGUCAAGGUCAUCCUUCAAGGUCAAAUAUAUGGGUCAAAAUUGAUCAUGUAAUGUCACUUCUGCAAUAUUGAAGCUAGCAAUUUUAUAUUUGAAAUGCAUGUGUAUCUCAUGGAGCUGCACAUUUUGAGUGGUGAAGGGUCAAGGUCAUCCUACAAGGUCAAACGUCAUAUAGGGGGACAUUGUGUUUCACAAACACAUCUUGUUUAAAGUUUGUCAAAACAUUUGCUGUAAUGAUAAGCAAAGUCAAGUUUAUAAAUAAUAAUUUGUCUACAAAUUACAUAUUUUUCAUUAAGUUCAUUUAUUAUUCUAAACUACACCCUCUCAGAAUAGUUUAGUUACUUCUGGUCACAGUUGAGCACCUUAGGGCUCUUGUUCUAUAAUUUGAUUGUUUUGGAAAAUUGUCAUUUUGCCAAAAUGUGAGCAAGUCCAAAUUUAAUUAACCCUGCUUUGUAGUAUCUUGUUUUCCUUAUAUGUUAAAAGUGGAAAAUUAUCUAUGAAUCUGACUGCAUAGAUAUUUGGUAUUCAGCAAAGCAUCGUGUAAAUGUAGUAAAACUAAACACAAUUGUGUUAGCAUAAAACUGGCCAUGCCAUGGGGGUCAAAUGGUUAAUACAGACUUGUAGGAAAAUUUUUAUCCGUUAAAUAUAUUUUGUGUACAUAAUGAUUAGCUUUUUCCUUCAACUUAUC